AGCGAACGCUGGCGGCAAGCUUAACACAUGCAAGUCGAACGAUGUAGCAAUACAUAGUGGCGGACGGGUGCAUAACACGUGGGAAUCUGCCUUUAGGUACGGAAUAACUCAGGGAAACUUGAGCUAAUACCGUAUAAAAUCUCCGGAUCAAAGAUUUAUCGCCUAAAGAUGAGCCCGCGUCAGAUUAGCUAGUUGGUGGGGUAACGGCCUACCAAGGCGACGAUCUGUAGCUGGUCUUAGAGGAUGAUCAGCCACACUGGGACUGAGACACGGCCCAGACUCCUACGGGAGGCAGCAGUGGGGAAUAUUGGACAAUGGGGGAAACCCUGAUCCAGCUAUGCCGCGUGAGUGAUGAAGGCCUUAGGGUUGUAAAGCUCUUUUAGAUGGGAAGAUAAUGACGGUACCAUCAGAAAAAGCCCCGGCUAACUUCGUGCCAGCAGCCGCCGUAA
rnacentral:rRNA from 1 species